CGGAGUCUCGAGCAAUCGGGAUGACGGCGUGCCUAUUGAAGAAUGAGCCGGCGAGUUCUUGGGGGCGGCAAGGUUAAGGGAGUGGCCUCCCGGAGCCGGAGCGAAAGCGAGCGUGAAUAGCGCGUUUUAGUCGCACUCAAUAGACCCGAAACCGGGUGAGCUAACCAUGGCCAGGGUGAAGCCCCGCUAAACCGGGGUGAAGGCCCGAACGGGUGUGUGUUGCAAAACGCUCCGAUGAGCUGUGGUUAGAGGUGAAAUGCCAAUCGAACCCGGAGAUAGCUGGUUCUCCCCGAAAUGCAUUGAGGUGCAGCCUUGGGUGAUCCGUCGCGCAGGUAGGGCACUGGAUGGGCUAGGGGGCGAAGAGCCUGCUGAACUCAACCAAACCACGAAUGGCGCGACGUUCCAGCCCAGGAGUGAGACUACGGGGGAUAAGCUUCGUGGUCGAAAGGGAAACAGCCCAGAUCGCCAGCUAAGGUCCCUAACUCCAGGCUUAGUGUGCAAGGAAGUCGCAUCGCUUAGACAGCCAGGAGGUUGGCUCAGAGGCAGCCACCCUUUAAAGAGUGCGUAACAGCUCACUGGUCGAGUGACGCGGCGCCGACAAUUCAACGGGGCUCAAGCCUGGGACCGAAGCUGCGGAUGUCCUUCUUAAAGGGAAGGACGUGGUAGGGGAGCGUUCCCUGGUCAGUGAAGCUCUGGUGUAAACCGGGGUGGAGAGCAGGGAAGUGAGAAUGCCGGCAUGAGUAACGCAAUCCCGGUGAAAAUCCGGGACACCGUAAGCCGAAGGGUUCCUACGCAACGGUCAUCGACGUAGGGUUAGGCGGGCCUAAGCCGAGAGCCAAGGCUGUAGGCGAUGGACAGCCGGUCAAUAUUCCGGCCCCGCCUGCCGUCCGUUACGAGCAAUGGGGGGACGCAGGAGGGUAGGAGGAGCCUGGCGUUGGAGUUGCCGGGUUCACGCCGGUAGGGAGCCCCGCCAGGAAAAUCCAGCGGGGAGUCCGGAGCGGCGAUGGGAAGUCCAAGGCGCAAGCUGCGGGCGACUCCUCUCAGCCCACACUGACAAGAAAAUCCUCUAGCCAGGACGGCGGGCGUCCGUACUGCAAACCGACACUGGUCGGCAACCGUAAACGCGGUAAGGUGAACGAGGGAACCUUCGUCAAGGAACUAGGCAAGUUAACCCCGUAACCUAGGGAUAAGGGGUGCCCCCAACGGUGAAUCCCCUUGCGGGAGGAGCGGCUGGGGGCCGCAGGGCAUCGGCUCAAGUGACUGUUUAGCAAAAACACAGGUCUCUGCGAACGCGGAAGCGGACGUAUAGGGGCUGAAGCCUGCCCAGUGCCGGUAAGUUAAGGUGAGGGCUUCACGGCCUGAUCCGAAGCUCCGGUGAACGGCGGCCGUAACUCUAACGGUCCUAAGGUAGCGAAAUUCCUUGUCGGGUAAGUUCCGACCUGCACGAAUGGCCCAACAACUUGAGCGCUGUCUCGACGAAGGCCUCGGCGAAGUUGAAGUACCUGUGAAGAUGCGGGUUACCCGCCGCCGGACAAAAAGACCCCGUGGAGCGUUACUGUAACUUGGCCUUGGACCGGGGACUGAGAUGCGUAGGAUAGGUGGGAGGCUUUGAGGCCCUGCUUUC
rnacentral:rRNA from 1 species